GAUGAACGCUGGCGGCGUGCCUAAUACAUGCAAGUCGAGCGAACAGACGAGGAGCUUGCUCCUCUGACGUUAGCGGCGGACGGGUGAGUAACACGUGGAUAACCUACCUAUAAGACUGGGAUAACUUCGGGAAACCGGAGCUAAUACCGGAUAAUAUAUUGAACCGCAUGGUUCAAUAGUGAAAGACGGUUUUGCUGUCACUUAUAGAUGGAUCCGCGCCGCAUUAGCUAGUUGGUAAGGUAACGGCUUACCAAGGCAACGAUGCGUAGCCGACCGGAGAGGGUGAUCGGCCCCCCUGGAACUGAGACACGGUCCAGACUCCUACGGGAGGCAGCAGUAGGGAAUCUUCCGCAAUGGGCGAAAGCCUGACGGGGCAACGCCGCGUGAGUGAUGAAGGUCUUCGGAUCGUAAAACUCUGUUAUUAGGGAAGAACAAAUGUGUAAGUAAAUAUGCACGUCUUGACGGUACCUAAUCAGAAAGCCACGGCUAACUCCGUG
rnacentral:rRNA from 1 species